UCUGGGAAGAGUUCUGAGAGGAGUUCGUUGGGAGUUGUGGGUGGGUAGUUGGUUGGAUUUCAUGGGUUGGCUGGUUGGGAAAGGCAGUUGGUAAUAGAGAGACAGUUAGGGCAGUUGGUCCUUGAGUGUGGGGAGGUAGCAGAGAUAGAGAGAGGAACAUAAGACUAAGAAAGUAAAGAGGAACACCGUUUGGAAUGCGGCAAAAGUUUUGUUUUAUCUCUGAAAUAAAAUACACUCUUCUUUAUUGAACUCUCUGAUGAAAACUUAGAGUACUUGGUGGUGGGUAAGAAAAUGCUGGGAGGAAGAACUGUCAGAGAAGCUUUGGAGAGGAUGGAUGAAAGGGAGAUUUUGGACACCAUCCUCCAACACCUCCAGCCACCUCCCCAGGUGUGUGUGAUGCAGGGUGGAUUUGAUUGAAAUCAAAUCAAUUUAAAACAUAUUUUUACAUUCUUGCUUGUAUAAUCUUAAUAUUUACAACCAGAUGAAGGUUUCAUUUUGGGAAUAAUAAAUUUCCAGAGUAGUUUUUA